AUGCUGGUGUUCGAUGCAUACUGAUACGCGUGGCACCGCCUGGCGCACCGCAACCGGUUCCUGUACCGGCACCUCCACUCGUGGCACCACCGCAUCGUGGUGCCCUACGCGUUCGGCGCCAUAUACGGCCACCCGAUCGAAGUCCUCAUUGACGACACGGCCAGCGGCUUGCUCGCGGUUCUUGUCUCCGGCUUGUCGUCCUCGCCGCACGCCAUGGCUGUCUUCCUCUCGCUCUGCAACAUCAAGGGCAUCGACAACCACUGCGGCCUGUGUCUCCUGCCACGCCGCCUGCAGUCGGUCUGGAACGGCGCUGCGCACCACGGCCUGCACCACAUGCCGCGCGGCGUCAGGCACAACUUCUCCGACAGCUUCUUGUUGACGUGGACAAGGUUUUUCGGAAUGCACAUGCCCUACGCUAUGGAGGAGAGGCCAGGCGGCCAAGGACUCGUGCUCAAGCCCAUGCCCAUGCCGCCUACGAAGGCCGACUAA
rnacentral:rRNA from 1 species